GUUUACAGCCGUACCACUUUGAGCACGCCCAGUCUUGUCAGCUCUCAGAAGCCAGGCAGGGUCAGGCCUGGUUAGUACUUGGAUACGAGACUGCCUGGGAAUACCAGGUGCGGUGUGGU
rnacentral:rRNA from 1 species